rnacentral:rRNA from 1 species
GUCCACACCGUAAACGUUGGGCGCUAGGUGUGGGAUCCAUUCCACGGGUUCCGUGCCGUAGCUAACGCAUUAAGCGCCCCGCCUGGGGAGUACGGCCGCAAGGCUAAAACUCAAAGGAAUUGACGGGGGCCCGCACAAGCGGCGGAGCAUGCGGAUUAAUUCGAUGCAACGCGAAGAACCUUACCUGGGUUUGACAUACACCGGAAAGCUGCAGAGAUGUGGCCCCUUUUUGUCGGUGUACAGGUGGUGCAUGGCUGUCGU